UACGUAGGGGGCGAGCGUUAUCCGGAUUUAUUGGGCGUAAAGCGUGUGUAGGCGGUUUAUUAAGUAUAAGAUUAAAGCCUGGGGCUUAACUCCAGUUCGUCUUAUAAACUGGUAGACUUGAGUAUGGUAGAGGCAAAUGGAAUUUCUAGUGUAGCGGUAAAAUGCGUAGAUAUUAGAAGGAACACCGGUGGCGAAGGCGAUUUGCUGGGCCAUUACUGACGCUGAGACACGAAAGCGUGGGGGGCGAAUAGGAUUAGAUACCCUAGUAGGACACGCCGUAAACGAUGAGUACUAAGUGUUGGGAUUUCCCAGUGCUGAAGUUAACACAUUAAGUACUCCGCCUGAGUAGUACGGUCGCAAGGCUGAA
rnacentral:rRNA from 1 species